rnacentral:rRNA from 1 species
AUUGAACGCUGGCGGCAUGCUUUACACAUGCAAGUCGAACGGUAACAGGCCUUCGGGUGCUGACGAGUGGCGAACGGGUGAGUAAUGCAUCGGAACGUGUCCAGAGGUGGGGGAUAACGCAGCGAAAGCUGUGCUAAUACCGCAUGUGAACUGAGGAUGAAAGCGGGGGACCAGGCAGCAAUGUUUGGCCUCGCGCCUUUGGAGCGGCCGAUGUCAGAGUAGGUAGUUGGUGGGGUAAAGGCCUACCAAGCCGACGAUCUGUAGCUGGUCUGAGAGGGCGACCGGCCACACUGGGACUGAGACACGGCCCAGAGUCCUACGGGAGGCAGCAGUGGGGAAUAUUGGACGAUGGGCGGAAGCCUGAUCCAGCAAUGCCGCGUGCAGGCAGAAGGCCUUCGGGUUGUAAACCGCUUUUGUACGGAACGAAAAGGCUCUGGCUAGUACCUGGGGCUGAUGACGGUACCGUAAGAAUAAGCACCGGCUAACUACGUG